UGAGUUAGAGUAAACUGUCAAGACUUAAAACUUACUUACUUUACCUUCACCAUGGGACUUAUAACCGUCACUUCUAUCUUGAGUAGUUAAAAGAUAGAACAGUCUAGCCAAGUGCCAGGUCUCUCAUUCUUGAUCAGCUAUAGUUCUGGAGUUUUGGCAGAUUUUCAAAUAAAACUCAGAGAUUCCUUGUAUGAUUCUCUCAGAUCUCUUUUUUUGUGGUAUUUCUGGAUCCUUACCAAGGCAGUGAUGGUAUAUGCCUUCUCUCAAUAUAUGUGGUAAUUUGUGGUAUAAAGCAUAGUGACAUUGCCUUCUCUCUGACCCUACUCUAAUAAGACUUUAAUAUCUGGAGCUCAUAGGUGGGAGAUAAAAUAUACAUACUCACAAGACAUGUAUUGCAUAGUCAAACCAUGGAUCCAAAGAAACAAGUCAAUAAGUUUAAUCAAGAUGUGCAUGUGUGGCGAAUGAAUGGUGUAUGGUGAUGAUGGUGAUAACAAUGGUGAAAGUCUAAUUCUACUUUUGCUCUUUGAGGGGAUAUAUACCUUCCUUGCUUUUUGAAUAGUGAGGAGAAUGAGAUGCUCUUCAUUUUCUUUCCUCUCAGGUGGGUAUCUCAUACCCCUAAUUCUACUGUCGGACACUUGUCCAUUUUUACCUCUCGUCUCACUUUUUCUUUUCUUUCGAGGUUCCGGGCACUUGCUCCUUUUUAUUUCCUCAUAUCUUUUUUUCUCUUUUUUUUAGAGCACUCAUCUCUUGAGAUAAUAUAGCAAGUGGUAGUAACAAGAUAACUUGAGCACUUAUUUCACAAAGGAAAAACAAAAAUAUUUUUGGCUAUUCUCUCCCGGGUUAGGAGUAGAAUAUUUUUGGGUGGUUCUGGAGAUGGAAAUGGGUGGAUAUAUGUGGAUGAUACUUCCGGAGUAGAAGUAGCAUAUAUGAGUGAACGUGCAAGUGAAAUCUUGAUUUAACCAAAUAACAAGCUCCUAAGGGUCUACACAGCUUGACCACACUCAAUGCUCAUAAGCAGUAAAUAGUAAAUGUGUGGCUCAAAGUCUAGCAAGCAUGUAUAUAUGGCUGUGGUAGGAAUUUAAACUCUCAUCAUACAGGAACUCAACAUGCAACAUUUUAAAGAUUUUCAAAGAUAAAAUUCUCCAGAAUUCUAGCAUCUCUAGGAACAGAUAAACAGCAGCUCAACCUUCCCAUAUCAUAUCCGUUAACAACUUAGACUUCAGAUCAAGUUUUCAUCCCACAAGUUUAGGUCUAGAGCAAGCUUUAAAUUAUAACAAUUAUGUCUAAACUUG
rnacentral:lncRNA from 1 species